rnacentral:rRNA from 1 species
UACGAAGGGGGCUAGCGUUGUUCGGAAUUACUGGGCGUAAAGGGCGCGUAGGCGGUGUGUCAAGUCAGGCGUGAAAGCCCCGGGCUCAACCUGGGAACAGCGCUUGAGACUGGCACGCUCGAGUUUCGGGAGAGGAUGGUGGAAUUCCCAGUGUAGAGGUGAAAUUCGUAGAUAUUGGGAAGAACACCGAUGGCGAAGGC